rnacentral:rRNA from 1 species
AGCUCCAAGAGCGUAUAUUAAAGUUGUUGCAGUUAAAAAGCUCGUAGUUGGAUUUCUGGUACAAUGCGCCUGGCCCGCGGUUGUAAAACUUGUGAGUGCCGGAGCGCGUUGACCAUCCUUCUAGAAAACGUUUCUACCCUUUACUGGGCUGGACUCGCGAUCUAGAUCUUUUACUUUGAAAAAAUUAGAGUGUUCAACGCAGGCAAUUGCUAUGAAUACAUAAGCAUGGAAUAAUGGAAUAGGACUUUGGUUCUAUUUUGUUGGUUUCUGGAACCGAAGUAAUGAUUAAAAGGGACAGUUGGGGGCAUUCGUAUUUCGUUGUCAGAGGUGAAAUUCUUGGAUUUACGAAAGACGAACUACUGCGAAAGCAUUUGCCAAGAAUGUUUUCAUUAAUCAAGAA